CGGACGGGUGAGUAACACGUGGAUAACCUACCUAUAAGACUGGGAUAACUUCGGGAAACCGGAGCUAAUACCGGAUAAUAUAUUGAACCGCAUGGUUCAAUAGUGAAAGACGGUUUUGCUGUCACUUAUAGAUGGAUCCGCGCCGCAUUAGCUAGUUGGUAAGGUAACGGCUUACCAAGGCAACGAUGCAUAGCCGACCUGAGAGGGUGAUCGGCCACACUGGGACUGAGACACGGCCCAG
rnacentral:rRNA from 1 species